rnacentral:tRNA from 1 species
GGUUUGUGGUUCAAUGGUAGAGCUCUUGCCUAGCAUGUGUGAAGUGUUGGGUUCGAUUCUCAGCACCA